rnacentral:lncRNA from 1 species
UUUUCCAUCACUACCAAAACACCUUUCUUUUCACCGAUUCAUAGUCUUCAAACCAUUCAAUUCCUUCCUUAUGCAUCUUCGAUUCAUGUUUUUCAAUUGAUACCAAAACCCUCAAACACCCAAACCCAUUUGAUUCCCUCAAACCUCUAAAUUCCUAAUCUUUAACCGAUUUCAAAACCCUCAAACACCCAAAGCCUCAUCUGUGGUCCUUGUCGAAUUCUUCUCUCAACAUUAAAAAUUGAGGUUUGUGAAAAGAAACAAGCAGAUCUACUGUUAUUUGAGGAGGUUUGCUGCCAAAUCAAGAGGAUCUAGAGCUGCGACCCAUCACUGUUAUUUGGCUGUUUGUGCCUGUUUUUGGUGUCUAAGUGGUGUUGUUUGGCUGCUGGUCCAGCAGAAGUGGCAUGCCUCUGUUGUUUUUUUGCUAUGAACUGCUAUAAUUGUCAGCACAUCAAUCGCCGUUGCACCAAAAUUGUCGUCUGAAAUCUCAAAAUUGUGCAGGAGCAAUGCCAAAGUCCAGGAGGAUAAAGAAUUUCCUUAAAGUAUCAAAUG